ACUCCCACCGCGUCCCGGCCCCUGCCCCAGGCCGGAGGGCAGAGGAAGUGCCCGGCCCCUCCCGAGGCUCUGGGGCCGCAGUGGGCUCGGGGGUGGGAGACGAGGUCCAAGCGCCGGCGAGACCCCUGCCAGCCCGGGACCUGGGCUCGGAGGCUCCCUUCCGGAUUUCCAAAAUCUGCGGAGGCAGCAUUUGUUCCGCCUCUCCCCUCUAGAGUGUGGAGACAGGAGGACGUCUGUGUAGGGAAGCACGUCGUUGGCAGACUGCUGUUUUGCCGAUGUUUAUUUGUUAUGCCAUUAUGACUGUUAGGAUUUCUCACCUGGAGUGGCUUCCGCCAUAAGCGCCGGGAUCUGGAAGGACGGCACGUUUGACUUCUGUUGUCCCAACCUCACUUGCCAGCCCUUGGCACCGCCCCAGCUUGGAUCCUCAGGGCGCCUCUGUUAUUUUCAUUCAUUUUUUUUGAGGACUCCAGGGUUCAGGUUUCUUAACUCCUGGACCAAAGUUCGCCCCGCUCGUAGCACCCUGUCUCUCAUCCUUAGAGGUAGGUUACUAAGAAUCAGAGUAGGUGAGGUGAAGCUCUAGGGUCAUUAUGCGGCAGGGGCUUUUACCUUAGGCUUCUUCGAAUUACGUUUUAACUGCAGUGGAGGGUGUGGGGGGAGGAGAGGGAGAAAACAGAAGGGUAUGUGUGUGGAAAAUGAAGGGAUUACUCACUGGACUAGUUGCCUUCUUUACAAAAAACAACCCAGUCUGUGUUACUGUGCGGUACAGGCUGAUCUUUGCACCUCCACUUUGG
rnacentral:lncRNA from 1 species